rnacentral:ncRNA from 1 species
GUAAAUAAGGGUAAAGGACCUGGCCUUUUUAUUAGUUGUUUGCAGAACUAUACAUGCAAGAAUCCCCACGCAGGUGAGAAUAUCCUCUGCACUACAUCUUAGGCUAAAAGGAGCAGGUAUUAAGCUCACUACAAAGUAGCUCACAACACCUUGCUUUGCCACACCCCCACGGGAGACAGCAGUAAUAAAAAUUAAGCAAUAAACGAAAGUCUGACUAAAUCAUGCAACUAUCAGAGUUGGUAAAUUUCGUGCAAGCCACCGCGGUCAUACGAUUAACGCAAAUUAAUAAAAUCUGGCGUAAAAAAUGUUUUAGAAAUACAAAACAUAAGACUAAGCUUUAUCCAAGUCGUAGAAAACUCCAGAUAAAGUACAAACCAAAAACGAAAGUAAUCUUAAUAAGUAACACACUAAAGCUAAGCCAAAACUGGGUUUAGAUACCCCACUAUCCUUAGCCAUAAACAUAAAAACUUGCAUAACAAAAGUUUUCGCCUGAGAAUUACUAGCAAUAGCUUAAAACUCAAAGGACUUGGCGGUGCUUUACACUCACCUAAAGGAGCUUGUUCUAUAAUCAAUAAGCCCCGAUACACCUCACCACCCCUUGCUAAUCCAGCCUAUAUACCGCCAUCUUCAGCAAACCCAAUUAUGGGAACAAAGUAAGCACAAGUUUAUUUCAUAAAAACGUUAGGUCAAGGUGUAGCCAAUGGAGUGGGAAGAAAUGGGCCACAUUUUCUUACCGAAGAACAGCAGACUCUAGUCAUCAUGAAACCUAAGGACCUAAGGAGGAUUAGUAGUAAACCAAGGAUAGAGAGCUUGGUUGAACUAGGCCAUGAAACAUGUACACACCACCCUUCACCCUCCUC